rnacentral:tRNA from 1 species
GGAGAGGUAGCUCAGUUCGGUAGAGCGUUACAUUCUAAAGUAAAGGUCAGUGAUUCAAAUUCACUUCUCUCCCA